rnacentral:rRNA from 1 species
CCUACGGGUGGCAGCAGUAGGGAAUCUUCCACAAUGGACGAAAGUCUGAUGGAGCAACGCCGCGUGGGUGAAGAAGGCCUUCGGAUCGUAAAACUCUGUUGUUAGAGAAGAAAGAGCGUGCGAGUAACUGUUUACGUUUCGACUGUAUCUAACAAGAAAGCCAAGGCUAACUACGUGCCCGCAGCCGCGGUAAUACGUAGGUGGCAAGCGUUAUCCGGAUUUAUUGGGCGUAAAGGGAACGCAGGCGGUCUGUUAAGUCUGAUGUGAAAGGCUUCGGCUUAACCGGAAUAGUGCAUUGGAUACGGGUAGUCUUGAGUGCAGAAGAGGUGGGUGGAAUUCCAGGUGUAGCGGUGAAAUGCUUAGAUAUAUGGAAGAACACCGGUUGCGAAGGCGGCUCUCUGGUCUGUAACUGACGCUGAGGUUCGAAAGUGUGGGUAGCAAACAGGAUUAGAUACCCGAGUAGUC